CAGCGCCAACAGAAAGGUCACUUAUUGAAACCCAAGUCCCUGCAGUUUGCCAGACCAGAGUCGGCUCCAGAUUCCAACCUGUGGCUUUUAAAGGCGCAGGACCAGCUCUGAUGUGAGGCGUUGCCUUAACUGAAGCCCCCUGCACCAGUCCUUUCUGUCAUAUCUCAUGGGACCCAUUUGGUCUCCCAGCCCACCUCAAAUCUGUUCUGAUCAGUGAGCGGGUGGGGAGGAGAAGGUGCAGCUGGAUUCAGUGAAAGUUCCAUCCUGCAGAAACCUGGGCACUAAUUGAGGAGCUGUUCCCGCUGCUGCCGGUGGGCCCCUCCCCCAGGCUUGACGUCUUGGGGGUGUUCUGGUCAGUUCUGCUGGCGUGUGAUGUGGUGGAUGACAGUGUGCUCAGGCCACCUGGUUUUGCGCUGAGCCUCCUGCUGUCUGGCUUUGUGUGGGAACAUGGACCAGUCCAUGGCCUAAAGGCUUCUUACCUCGAAGAUGGGCAGAACAAUAUCCACUUCCGGAACAUCACACCUGGUGUUGUGGAGCACAUUCUCUAUCUCCAAGCCUUAACUACAAAUAGAUACUGACAGCUUCUCACCAGGCUGGGCAGGGACAAGUGAGGUCCCUGAGGUG
rnacentral:lncRNA from 1 species